GACGAACGCUGGCGGCGUGCCUAAUACAUGCAAGUCGAACGGUCUUUUCUAUGGAAGCUUGCUUCCGCUGAGAAGAUAGUAGCGAACGGGUGAGUAACACGUGGGUAACCUGCCCAUAAGAGGGGGAUAACAUCCGGAAACGGGUGCUAAUACCGCAUAAACUUUUUAAGACACAUGUUUAAAAGGAAGGUGGCGCAAGCUAUCGCUUAUGGAUGGACCCGCGUCUGAUUAGCUAGUUGGUGGGGUAGAAGCCUACCAAGGCGACGAUCAGUAGCCGGCCUGAGAGGGUGGACGGCCACACUGGGACUGAGACACGGCCCAGACUCCGUACGGGCGCAGCAGUGGGGAAUAUGCGCAAGUGGGGGAAACCCUGACGCAGCGACGCCGCG
rnacentral:rRNA from 1 species